rnacentral:rRNA from 1 species
UACGGAGGGUGCAAGCGUUAUCCGGAUUUACUGGGCUUAAAGGGUGCGUAGGCGGGUCUGUAAGUCAGUGGUGAAAUCUCCGGGCUUAACCCGGAAACUGCCAUUGAUACUAUAGGUCUUGAAUAUUGUGGAGGUAAGCGGAAUAUGUCAUGUAGCGGUGAAAUGCUUAGAUAUGACAUAGAACACCGAUAGCGAAGGCAGCUUGCUACACAAUUAUUGACACUGAGGCACGAAAGCGUGGGGAUCAAACAGG